rnacentral:rRNA from 1 species
CGGGAGGCAGCAGUGGGGAAUUUUGGACAAUGGGGGAAACCCUGAUCCAGCCAUGCCGCGUGAGUGAAGAAGGCCCUAGGGUCGUAAAGCUCUUUCGCCUGUGAUGAUAAUGACAGUAGCAGGUAAAGAAACCCCGGCUAACUCCGUGCCAGCAGCCGCGGUAAUACGGAGGGGGUUAGCGUUGUUCGGAAUUACUGGGCGUAAAGCGCGCGUAGGCGGAUUGGAAAGUUAGAGGUGAAAUCCCGGGGCUCAACCCCGGAACUGCCUUCAAAACUCCCAGUCUAGAGUUCGAGAGAGGUGAGUGGAAUUCCGAGUGUAGAGGUGAAAUUCGUAGAUAUUUGGAGGAACACCAGUGGCGAAGGCGGCUCACUGGCUCGAUACUGACGCUGAGGUGCGAAAGUGUGGGGAGCAAACAGGAUUAGAUACCCUGGUAGUCCACGCCCUAAACGAUGUCAACUGGUUGUUGGGAGGGUUUCUUCUCAGUAACGAAGCUAACGCGUGAAGUUGACCGCCUGGGGAGUACGGUCGCAAGAUUAAAAC